rnacentral:rRNA from 1 species
UGCCGGGUCCAUAAACCGGAGGAAGGUGGGGAUGACGUCAAGUCAGCAUGGCCUUUAUAGUCCUGGGCUACACACACGCUACAAUGGGAAGGACAAUAGGUUGCGAAGCCGCGAGGCGGAGCCAAUCCAGCAAAACUUCCCUCAGUUCAGAUUGCAGGCUGCAACCCGCCUGCAUGAAGUUGGAGUUGCUAGUAAACGCAGGUCAGCCAUACUGCGUUGAAUACGUUCCCGGGGCUU